rnacentral:rRNA from 1 species
GACCAGACUCCUACGGGAGGCAGCAGUGGGGAAUAUUGCACGAUGGGGGAAACCCUGAUGCAGCGACGCCGCGUGAGUGAAGAAGUAUUUCGGUAUGUAAAGCUCUAUCAGCAGGGAAGAAAAUGACGGUACCUGACUAAGAAGCCCCGGCUAACUACGUGCCAGCAGCCGCGGUAAUACGUAGGGGGCAAGCGUUAUCCGGAUUUACUGGGUGUAAAGGGAGCGUAGACGGCAUGGCAAGUCAGAUGUGAAAGCCCGGGGCUCAACCCCGGGACUGCAUUUGAAACUGUCAGGCUGGAGUGCAGGAGAGGUAAGUGGAAUUCCUAGUGUAGCGGUGAAAUGCGUAGAUAUUAGGAGGAACACCAGUGGCGAAGGCGGCUUACUGGACUGUAACUGACGUUGAGGCUCGAAAGCGUGGGGAGCAAACAGGAUUAGAUACCCCCGUAUU